GCUGGCGGCAGGCUUAUCACAUGCAAGUCGAGCGGAAACGAUGGGAGCUUGCUCCCAGGCGUCGAGCGGCGGACGGGUGAGUAACACUUAGGAAUCUACCUAGUAGUGGGGGAUAGCUCGGGGAAACUCGAAUUAAUACCGCAUACGUCCUACGGGAGAAAGGGGGCAGUUUACUGCUCUCGCUAUUAGAUGAGCCUAAGUCGGAUUAGCUAGUUGGUGGGGUAAAGGCCUACCAAGGCGACGAUCUGUAGCUGGUCUGAGAGGAUGAUCAGCCACACCGGGACUGAGACACGGCCCGGACUCCUACGGGAGGCAGCAGUGGGGAAUAUUGGACAAUGGGGGAAACCCUGAUCCAGCCAUGCCGCGUGUGUGAAGAAGGCCUUUUGGUUGUAAAGCACUUUA
rnacentral:rRNA from 1 species